rnacentral:rRNA from 1 species
AUACGUAGGGGGCGAGCGUUGUCCGGAAUGAUUGGGCGUAAAGGGCGCGUAGGCGGCCCGGUAAGUCUGGAGUGAAAGUCCUGCUUUCAAGGUGGGAAUUGCUUUGGAUACUGCCGCGCUUGAGUGCAGGAGAGGUUAUCGGAAUUCCCGGUGUAGCGGUGAAAUGCGUAGAGAUCGGGAGGAACACCAGUGGCGAAGGCGGGUAACUGGACUGCAACUGACGCUGAGGCGCGAAAGUGUGGGGAGCAAACAGGAUUAGAUACCCUGGUAGUCCACACUGUAAACGAUGAAUGCUAGGUGUAAGAGGUAUCGACCCCUUUUGUGCCGGAGUCAACACAAUAAGCAUUCCGCCUGGGGAGUACGGCCGCAAGGUUGAAACUCAAAUGAAUCGGCGGGG